rnacentral:rRNA from 1 species
AUGAACCGGUAUGGUAUGCCAUUCAUACCCUUUGUUGGUCUUAACCAUCACCGGAAGACCACUGUUUUUGCUUGUGCCAUAGUUUCGGACGAGACCGAAGAGACAUAUGUGUGGCUGCUAGAGACUUUUUUGAGGUCCAUGUGUCAAAAGAUGCCGAAGAGUGUUAUCACGGACGCCGACGCUGCGAUGAUCAAGGCAAUUCGCCAAGUCUUGCCAGACGUGUGGCACCGUAUAUGUACGUGGCAUAUAGAAAAAAUAUGA